UUGAUCUGGAGGUAGUUCUGCU
rnacentral:miRNA from 1 species